CAUUUAGUAAAUAGUAAUAUCCGUGGUUAUCCGAAAAGUGUUCCAUUCGGGAAACACAUAAAGCCGUUUUUUUAGAUUUGAGUAUAGAAAGAACGCAUCAGAUGACUCAAGUCCAAAACGAAUAAUUCGGGGUUUAUUAAUUUGUUUACCAAGCGAGUCACUGAAGAAAAAGGAAGUUAUAAAAGUUUAUGAAUUUAAUAACAAUUUAUUUAAUAAUAUUUUGAAUAUUUUUCUUUAAU